ACAGAUUCUUGAUACUUUGGUCAAGAUCAUGUAUAGUAUCAAUUCUUGUCACCAUAAUAUGUGAUAUGACCUUUAUCAGAGGGAAAUAUAUUAAAUGGAUUUCUGAAAUUCAGAGAUGGAUUUAAAAUUUACUCUGUCCACUCUAGCUUUUUAAAAACAUUUAUUUAUUUUUUUAAUAAGGGAGAUAUA
rfam:Erinaceus europaeus unplaced genomic scaffold scaffold00307, whole genome shotgun sequence